rnacentral:piRNA from 1 species
UAAUAGAUUGGUUAAAACUACAUGUUAAGAA